GUUAACUUGGGCGCUCAGGAGGUCGACGCGGCGUUAACUCGCGUUGGUGCGAGAUGUCCUGACGCUUUUUGUUGUACGCUUCUCUGUUUCUGGGCUGAGGGCUCAGAGCCAGAGUGCUGGCUUGUGUCUUUCCUAGCCGUCCCGCCUGCCCCGAGUGUUGUGGAGAGUUUCUGAGAGACAGCCCCUGAGAAGGGGAGCGGGCGCUUUCGCGGGCUCACUCGGAGGGGUAGGGUUAGGGAGAGGAGCCGCGCGGGCCGGGGCGGCGGAGAGGCCGGACCGAGGUGGUCAGUGGACGCCGCCACCCCUCGGUCGGACCUCGAAGUGGACCUGCGCGCACACCUGGUGUGUGGGGAAGGAAUGAGGACAGCGCCACCCUUCGGAUUUAGAGGGAGAGGAGAAAACAAGGCAAAUGAGUUAGAUCUGCUGGUUGAUAAUCGGCGUCUUCCCUGGGCUUCGAGGGAGGCUCUGCGUUCCCUGUUUUGAGGCCCUAGAAGUAAAGAAGCUGGUGGUUACGAAAUUUGUUGAAAUCUUUUGCUGGCCAAUGAUCAAGGAUCAUUCCAAGCUGAGUUUUCUUUACUGUUAUACAGAUGAAGUAUCUGUAAGUUGUUUUUUAUUUUAAAUUUUAGAAGUCAUAUGUAGUAAAUAUAGAAUAUUUUCAACUAGUACAUCUAACAGAAUUUAAAGUAUUUUUUUUAACACCUGCUACUUAAUGAAGAUGCUUUACAUCCGUCAUCUACUGAGCACUUUUCCAGGCUCUGGAGGACAUGAAAAAAGGAUUAUCAUGAAGAUGCCUUGAAAGUUACACAGCACUGGAGGAGUGUGAUAGCCCUUUCAGUUGCUCUUGCUUCUCAGGAUUGAGAUAUGGAAAGAUCCUUCUGUCCUUUACCACACAGUUCCUUUGUCAGGAAUUCCAGGAUUUCCUCCAAGUUUGCAAGCCAAUUGAAAAUGCCAAUGUCGGAACCCCAUCCCCCUCCUCCUUCCCAUUCAUCCUGAGCCCAAGAGAUCUCCAUAAAAUUGACCUGGAUACCUUUCAUUCAAGGCUUGUGGGAGUCUGAAGCCGGUCUCAAGAUUUCUCCACUACACUGACCCAGAAGAAAAACUGAGCUCCCUGUCUGAUGUCCAGUAAAAGCCAAUUCACAGAAAAUAUUCAUGAAUCUAAGAGAUGUUAGUGAUGAUUUGGGGAAAGGAUAAUAGAGUUUACACAGCAGCAAUGCAAACAAGCACAAGUGAGUUGGCCUCCCAGAUCUCAAAAUGUCCGUUAGCCAUGCACCAUCUUGAAGUUUCACGGGAUUCUUUUGUUUCAGCCCUUCAUCUGGUUGGCUCCUCUUUUACCCUUCUUGGCCUUGGAACUUCAAUUUCUUUUCCUUUUCUCCUUCUCUCCCUCUCUCUAUCUCCUUCCUAUUUCCCUGUUUCCUCUCCCUGCCUCUGCCUCUCCUCCUCCCUUUUUCUUUCUCCUGGUCUUGCACCCCCAAAACCCACUAAGAUUGCUUACAGUAAAGGGCCCUACCCUCUGUGUGGCCCCCACUUCCUUAAAGGCAUUAGUAGCAAUUUUUUACCUUGAAACAAAGCAGACCAAUUUUUCAGUUUUCAGUGUAAUAAAAAUACUUGAAAAAACAUGCCCUGCAGAUAUUAAAAAAAAAAUCCCCAAACCUGUGAUUUUGGUUUUCAGCUGGUGUUUGCAGGUUUUUCUUUAGUAGGGUAAUGUUAAGUGAGCUUGUUAGGAUCCUCUGCACCUCUUUUCAUCUUCCAUGUGCCUACAAAAUAAACUGCCCUUGUAGCUCAGCUGGUAAAAAAUCCUCCUGCAGACCUGGGUUCUUUCCUGGGUUGGGAAGAUCUGCUGGAGAAGGGAAAGGCUACCCACUUUAGUAUUCUAGCCUAGAGAACUGUAUAGUCCAUGGGGUCACAAACAGUUAGACACGACUGAGCAACUUCCACUUUCACUUUCUUCCAUGAUCUAUCGUAUUUGCAUUAUUUGCCAUUGAUUUUUUUUUUUUUUUAAUUUAGUUUCUUACCUCUGGUCCCAGAUAAGGAUCAGUUAGGAGACUCUGGUCUGCUGUGGUAGACCAUUUUUCCUCUAAACUUUUUGUUAUGGAAAUGUUCAGUACAAAGAAUAUUUGAAUCUGUCACCUAGAAUCUAUGAUUGUUAACAUUUUGUUAUAUUUGCCUUCUGUGCAUCUGAGUUUUUGAUGCAUUUCAGACUAAGUUGCAGACAUGGGUACUUUUCACUCCUAGACAUUUUAGCAUUCAUGUAAUUAAUUUUUUUCAGGUUUUUUUUUUCCCUAGGUAAAAUUUAUGUAACUGUGAUAUUCAGAUUUUAAGUGUACUAUUAGAUAAGUUUUGAGCAAUGCAAAAACCUGGGUUUUCUAAAUCCCUAUUGAAAUAUAGAAAAUUUCCAUAAAGGAUUUAUUUGUUUGUUAGUUUUUCCAUACGCAAGGAGUGUAAAAUGGUUAAGUUCUAGACAUUUCCAGGUCUGAGUACACUAUUGGUAAGAAAUUACUUAAAGUAUAAUGGAUUUUAAGUGAGUUUUAUAGGUAUAGAAACACAGUUCAAAUUAAGCUCUGCAUCUGUGCUUUUUUGCCGUGUUUCAGUUUGAGCUCAGAGACUUUACAAGCAAGCAGAAACACUCAAGCAAAAUGGGCACUGCCUGUCAGUUAAGAGCAGGAACUAGGUCUGUUUUUUGAUACGUAUCUCAACUACCCAGGAUGCUUUAUACCUUUGACACUCAAAUAUUUCCUGUCACCACACUAUCUGCUACAAAAAUUUAUUGUCUAUUCUAUGGCUGGUGUUUGUGCACGUAGGAAAUAAUCGUGGGACUAUAGAAGUCAAAACCAUUGAGAGUGUCACAUAUCCUUCUUAGGUGGUCAUCAGUCAGUACUUGAAAUUGGGUUAAAAGAAUAGGAUAUGGUAGAGCUUCUCCACAGCCCAGAGGUAAAGAAAGAUGGAUAACUAAAUUCAGACAGAACAGCCUUGAGGCUCCAGGAGUAAUAGACCUGGAUUCUGAGUUCUCUUAUGCUUCCUAUUGGAGUUCAAAUCAAUGCUUGACUUUCCCAGGGCCUGUAGGUUCAUGCAGAUGAGUAGUUACUGCUUUUUGAAGGUGUUUAUGUGGAAAAGUCCUGAUGCAUGUUUAUAGAAAGAAAUAUAUAGGAAAACAGUGCAUGUUACUUUCUUAAGUAAAGAAAUUUGGAUAUCUUUUUAAAUGCUGCAUCCAAAUUUCAACAUGCCAGAUGCCCACUGAGGACCAUAACAAGCCAUUACUUGCCAUUCUUUUUUUAAAAUUGAAGAAUAGUUGAUUUACAAUGUUGUGUUAGAUUCUGUUUACAGCCAAGUGAUUCAGUUUAAUAUAUAUGUAAAUAUGUAUAUUAUUUUUCAGGUUAUU